GAAAUGCGAUACUUGGUGUGAAUUGCAGAAUCCCGUGAACCAUCGAGUUUUUGAACGCAAGUUGCGCCCGAAGCCUUUUGGCCGAGGGCACGUCUGCCUGGGCGUCACGCAUCGCGUCGCCCCCCACAACUCUCCGUAAGGGGAACUCGUGUUUUGGGGGCGGACGUGGUGUU
rnacentral:misc_RNA from 1 species